UGGGGAAUUUUGGACAAUGGGCGAAAGCCUGAUCCAGCAAUGCCGCGUGUGUGAAGAAGGCCUUCGGGUUGUAAAGCACUUUUGUCCGGAAAGAAAUCCUUGGCUCUAAUACAGUCGGGGGAUGACGGUACCGGAAAAAUAAGCACCGGCUAACUACGUGCCAGCAGCCGCGGUAAUACGUAGGGUGCAAGCGUUAAUCGGAAUUACUGGGCGUAAAGCGUGCGCAGGCGGUUUGCUAAGACCGAUGUGAAAUCCCCGGGCUCAACCUGGGAACUGCAUUGGUGACUGGCAGGCUAGAGUAUGGCAGAGGGGGGUAGAAUUCCACGUGUAGCAGUGAAAUGCGUAGAGAUGUGGAGGAAUACCGAUGGCGAAGGCAGCCCCCUGGGCCAAUACUGACGCUCAUGCACGAAAAGCGUGGGGAGCAAAACAGGAUUAGAUACCCUGGUAGUCCACGCCCUAAAACGAUGUCAACUAGUUGUU
rnacentral:rRNA from 1 species